rnacentral:rRNA from 1 species
CCCACGGGGGGCAGCAGUGGGGAAUAUUGGACAAUGGGGCAACCCUGAUCCAGCCAUGCCGCGUGUGUGAAGAAGGCCCUCGGGUUGUAAAGCACUUUCAGUGAGGAAGAACGCCUGGUGGUUAAUACCCAUCAGGAAAGACAUCACUCACAGAAGAAGCACCGGCUAACUCCGUGCCAGCAGCCGCGGUAAUACGGAGGGUGCGAGCGUUAAUCGGAAUUACUGGGCGUAAAGCGCGCGUAGGUGGCUUGAUAAGCCGGUUGUGAAAGCCCCGGGCUCAACCUGGGAACGGCAUCCGGAACUGUCAAGCUAGAGUGCAGGAGAGGAAGGUAGAAUUCCCGGUGUAGCGGUGAAAUGCGUAGAGAUCGGGAGGAAUACCAGUGGCGAAGGCGGCCUUCUGGACUGACACUGACACUGAGGUGCGAAAGCGUGGGUAGCAAACAGGAUUAGAUACCCGAGUAGUC